UACGAAGGGUCCUGGCGUUGUUCGGAAUUACUGGGCUUAAAGAGCACGUAGGCGGGAAGGUAAGUGUCUUGUGAAAGUCCUCGGCUUAACCGAGGAAUUGCAGGGCAUACUGCUUUCCUUGAGGCAGGUAGGGGCGCGUGGAACUCUAGGUGGAGCGGUGAAAUGCGUAGAUAUCUAGAGGAACGCCUGUGGUGAAAACGGCGCGCUGGGCCUGGUCUGACGCUGAGGUGCGAAAGCGUGGGUAGCGAACAGGAUUAGAUACCCCUGUA
rnacentral:rRNA from 1 species